AUUCAAUGAUUGAAGGGUUGGUGAGGGCAUUUGUGACUAGGGCCUCUAGCCACAAAAUAUAAUCAAGAAAAUGUGUUAAAAAAGGACGAAUCGUUGAAGCAUCAACAUUUGUUUUGUUAAGAUUAUUUGUUGUUGUUUUUAUCUAUAAUUAUUUUUUCUUGUUACAGGGUAUUCUACUAAAAUGCAAAGAGAUUACAUGGCUAUGACUUCAAGGGUCAGAGAUGGAGAAAAGUAGUUUGAAAGAGUAGUGUAAACACACGAUUUGCUAGUUUUAGAGAACAUCGAAAACAAGAUAUUACGGUGAAGCUAGAGAAGAAAAAGUUCACAAGAAAAACCCUAGUUAUGUCAUGUGUGGUCCUCCACCACCACGUCUUCUACUACCACGGUUUCCCGGACAUGAAUCCAUUGUUCUAGCUUGGACCUUUUGCGUUGGCUUU